rnacentral:misc_RNA from 1 species
GAAAUGCGUUAAGUAAUGUGAAUUGCAGAAUUCAGUGAAUCAUCGAAUCUUUGAACGCACAUUGCGCCCGCCAGUAUUCUGGCGGGCAUGCCUGUUCGAGCGUCAUUACAACCCUCAGGCCCCCGGGCCUGGCGUUGGGGAUCGGCGGAAGCCCCCUGCGGGCACAACGCCGUCCCCCAAAUACAGUGGCGGUCCCGCCGCAGCUUCCAUUGCGUAGUAGCUAACACCUCGCAACUGGAGAGCGGCGCGGCCACGCCGUAAAACACCCAACUUCUGAAUGUUGACCUCGAAUCAGGUAGGAAUACCCGCUGAACUUAAGC